rnacentral:rRNA from 1 species
CACGUAGGAGGCGAGCGUUAUUCGGAUUUACUGGGCGUAAAGGGCAUGUAGGCGGUUCGGUAAGCCUGACGUGAAAGGCUAUGGCUCAACCAUGGCAUGGCGUUGGGAACUGCCGGACUUGAAUCACGGAGAGGGAGCUGGAAUUCCAGGUGUAGGGGUGAAAUCUGUAGAUAUCUGGAAGAACACCAGUGGCGAAGGCGAGCUCCUGGCCGAUGAUUGACGCUGAGGUGCGAAAGUGUGGGGAUCAAACAGG